CCACACUAAGCGGGGGGUUAGCGGUCCCCUGAACCCGAAAACCGCUAUAUGCGGGGCUGAAGUCCUAUCGGAGGUGCUUUCAUUGUGGGAAAUGCUGUGGAUAAGUGGUGUCGAUGGUAGAGUCCCACGCAUCGAAAGCUCGUGAACCUGGUCAGGCCCGGAAGGGAGCAGCCAUAAGCGAGUCAUUUCGAGUGCCGUGGGGGAGCUCUGCCGGAGCUAACUGUCCAACAAGCGUCCCACAAUAAAGCAUCGAAGAUAGGUGUGUGG
rnacentral:SRP_RNA from 1 species